rnacentral:rRNA from 2 species
UGUCGAGCUUGCUCACGGGCUUUCUAUCAUAUCCAUAACACCUGUGCACUUGUUGGAUGAUCUAAAGACAUAGGGUAAAACCUAAAGUCAAUAGUCAUCCACUUACACUAAACAAUAAUGUAACAAAUGUAGUCUUAUUAUAACAAAAUAAAACUUUCAACAACGGAUCUCUUGGCUCUCGCAUCGAUGAAGAACGCAGCGAAAUGCGAUAAGUAAUGUGAAUUGCAGAAUUCAGUGAAUCAUCGAAUCUUUGAACGCACCUUGCGCUCCUUGGUAUUCCGAGGAGCAUGCCUGUUUGAGUGUCAUGAAAACCCUCAACCUUAGAUUGGUUAUUUGACCUUUCUUUGGCUUGGAUUUGGACGUUUGCCGAUGUCAAGUCGGCUCGUCUUAAAAGUAAUAGCUGGAUCUGUCUCGCGACAUGGUUUGACUUGGCGUAAUAAGUAUUUCGCUAAGGACAUCUUCGGAUGGCCCUGUUGCAGGACUAAAGACCGCUUUCUAAUCCAUUGAUCUUCGGAUUAAUAUUCAUAACAUCUGGCCUCAAAUCAGGUAGGACUACCCGCUGAACUUAAGCAUAUCAAUAAGCGGAGGA